rnacentral:lncRNA from 10 species
ACCUUGGGGAGGGGCCAGCUGCUGUGUUCAGUCCGCCAUUGCAAACACGAAGCUCUUCCAGAAACGCCCUCACAGACACCCCGGAAGUCACGUACCCACUCUGUAGGUGCCCCGGGGCACAGGCAAGCGGACGAGCCAGUUAUCCCUCAGAGCUCCUGCUGCCUCGCCCGCUUUCUCUCGGAAACGUGAAGUGUGGCCUCAGCUGAAAGUGAGGUGGGCCUCAUUCAAUCAGUUGAAUUCUUCAAGAGAGAAAAACUGAAGUCCCUUAGAAGGAAAGAGUUCUGCCUUCAGACUGUCUUUGAACUUAAGACUGUAGCGUCGACUCCUGCCGGAAUUUCCAGCCUGCUGGCCAGCUCUGCAGAUUCACACUUGCCAGCCUCCACAAUCGCAGCUGAGGCGGAGGAACCCUAAGGGCUCAUUGAGAUCAUGGAUUUGCCCUUCUAUGCAUUGAUGGAGCACCUGCUGCCCACAGCGUCUGUAUUUGGUGCUGGGAUGCUGAGGACACUGAGAUCUUCAAACAGAGGCUGCCACUCUAAGCAAACAGAUCCCGAGCCCUGGACUCUGAAGCUUGGGCCCAGUUCUCCUUUUCUCCGGGUUUCAGAUCCCACUGUGAAGUGAGGGGGCCCUUCUGAUUCAGGACCCGGGGAAGCCAGGGGCAUGAGCAUCGGUGCCUCUUCUCUAUUUCAAGGACCCUUCUGGGUGUAAAGUUCUCUGAGAUGCCUUACAUGGAUUCCCACCACUGCAAGAUAACCAUCGUAUGUAAAGUGUUAUGACCAGCAGAGCGUAAUUGAAGUGCAUUCCAGAGGGAAAGACAGCGGCUCAGAUGAGGCUUCAGGCUUGACCAAAUCUGACUGGCUGGCUGCCGGAGACACUGCUACCCAUCGGCCCUUAAUAAAUGGCCUCAUUUGAUCAUCAUGUGAUCUUCAGAAGCUGGGCUUGAUUAUCCUUGCCAAACAAAAUGCUGAAACCAAAAAUCUGAAAGUAAAUCAAAGGUUUCGCCAUCAUGUAAACCCUUGGGCGACAGAGUCUACCUGUCUCCCCCUGAUAUUGUUCUAUGAGAUUUCGAUGCUAUCUUCAUUGCCAGCAGCCCUGACAAAGAUGCACUGCAGACGGAUAGCCUCUCAGGAACCUGCUUACCUCAGAGCCUGCUGCGGACUGAGUUGUCUUCUCCAAAAUCCAUUUGUGGAGGCCCUCAUCCCCAGUGGGAGAGUAUUUGGAGAUGAAGCAUUUGGAGGUGAUUAAGCUUAGAUGAGCUCAGAGUGGAGCCUCAGGAUGGCAUCGAUGCCCUGGUAAAGAGGGACACUGAGACCUGGCCCUCCCUUGCUCUCCACCGUGUGAGGACACAAUGAGAUGGUGGCCACCUACAAGCCAGGAACUGAACCCUACGGGGCCUUGACACUGGCCGUUCCAGCCUCCAGAAUGGCUAGGAAUAAAUGUCUGCUCUUUAAGUCACUGGGCGGUGGAGCUUUGUUAUGGCAGCACCAGGGGCUGGUUGAGAGCCUUUGCAUGGCUCUUGUUCCACCUGGAAUGAGAUUUCUAACUCUUGGCUACCUCACCCCCUUACCUCAUUGUUUCAUGUUGCAACCACCCACCCACUCCCCAUGUCUCUGGCAUUCUCAUUUAUUUUUUCUUUGAUUUCAUAGAACACAUCACAAAGCCAUUUGCUCAUGCAUGAUGUUUAUUGUCUAUUUUCUAUCUCCCUGCUAGAGGGUAAGAUGCUCAAGAACACUGCUCUGUCUGCCUCCCUGGACCCAGAAAAUGCUUGGCGUGUGGUAGAACUUAGAUAUAUUUGUGUUGAAUAAAUUAAUUGAAGGG